CUAUAUUCACUAGGAUUAAACUAGUUCUUUAAAUAUCAAAAAUUUAUGUACAUCUUAUACUAGAAUAUA
rnacentral:tRNA from 1 species